rfam:Paeniclostridium sordellii ATCC 9714 gcs9714.contig.40, whole genome shotgun sequence.
CUAAAAGCUAAGAAGAGGAAUAGUAGAAAACAAAAUUUUUUACAGAGAAGAAGUAAUAGGUGAGAGCUUCUAUAAAUUUAAUUUCGAACCAGCCUUAGAGCUUAAGAGCGGUAAAAAGUUCUUACGGUAAGGACCGUUACAUCCUACAAAGAGAAUUAAUAUAUUUUAUGUUAAUUAACUAGAGUGGUACCGCGGAAAUAUAACCUUUCGUCUCUAUA